UACGUAGGGUGCGAGCGUUGUCCGGAAUUAUUGGGCGUAAAGAGCUUGUAGGCGGUUUGUCGCGUCUGCUGUGAAAAUCCGGGGCUCAACCCCGGACUUGCAGUGGGUACGGGCAGACUAGAGUGUGGUAGGGGAGACUGGAAUUCCUGGUGUAGCGGUGAAAUGCGCAGAUAUCAGGAGGAACACCGAUGGCGAAGGCAGGUCUCUGGGCCACUACUGACGCUGAGAAGCGAAAGCAUGGGGAGCGAACAGGAUUAGAUAU
rnacentral:rRNA from 1 species